CAGUAAGGAAUAUUGGUCAAUGGGCGGAAGCCUGAACCAGCCAUGCCGCGUGCAGGAAGACGGCCCUACGGGUUGUAAACUGCUUUUAUACCGGAAUAAACCUCUUUACGUGUAAGGAGCUGAAUGUACGGUAAGAAUAAGGAUCGGCUAACUCCGUGCCAGCAGCCGCGGUAAUACGGAGGAUCCAAGCGUUAUCCGGAUUUAUUGGGUUUAAAGGGUGCGUAGGCGGCCUAUUAAGUCAGGGGUGAAAGACGGUAGCUCAACUAUCGCAGUGCCUUUGAUACUGAUAGGCUUGAAUGCAGCUGAGGUAGGCGGAAUGUGACAAGUAGCGGUGAAAUGCAUAGAUAUGUCACAGAACACCGAUUGCGAAGGCAGCUUACUAAAGUGCGAUUGACGCUGAGGCACGAAAGCGUGGGGAUCAAACAGGAUUAGA
rnacentral:rRNA from 1 species